CCGUUUUGUGUUUCCGGAAACCGCAUGAACUCCAGGAAGAAGCGCGUUUGUUACACAGACACCGCUCAGGACAAACACUUGACGAGUUUCCAGGGCGCGUUUUAUGUCCUAAUACGGAUUAAGAGUUAAGUUUAGUUUGGAAACGUGGCAAAAAAGCCUCCCCGGCUGAUAAUUGACCCCAAUUUCUUGAGUUUAGUGAACGCGGUCGGUGCAAAACUUGCAGGAUUUGCCGCGGAGCGGAGCAGGUAGGCACGAGCAGGAGAAAGAGUGCACUACAUAGGGGGCAAAACAAGUGUAGUGCGAUUAGAAAUUGGAGAGAUGAAAAUCCUGGAAAAAAAAAGUUCAGGAGUCUUUCCAAGAACUACACGGAGUUCCCAUUUAUCGCGACCUGCAAAGGGCCUUCAAACGGGAAUCAGCGACCCCUAUGGGUCCGCGGCGGAACUGCAGAGUGUCCUCUAAAUAAUGAUGAAUCACAAAUAAUUUUUGGUUAAAAAAUAAACAAA